ACAUUUGCUAGUCCUUAUCCUCUGAUCAUUCAGUCUUAUUAGAGCACAGUGCAGAAUCUUGCCAGCCUCUACACUUGCAUUUCCUUCUAAGAGAAGUCAGAAUAUCUGGAAGGAGAAGGUUUCCACGGAGAUCUCAUUCUUAAACUUGGCAGAUAGUGCCCAAAAAACUGACUGAAGAGGGAUUUGGGAAUGACUGCUAGGCACAGAAGUGUUUCAUUUUAAUAUGGUGAUGCUAAGCCACCCACAUGAUGCCAGUGUGAAACAGACGAAUGCAAUUCUCUCAUGCUACAUGCAAAGAUCUGCUAAGAUUUCAUGAGUAAUUUUGUACAUUGAAGACUCAUGUCAAAGAAAAGGAAAUUCAAUACAGAAGAGUUCCUGGAAAUAGUUAUGAGAAUAAUAAAACAAAGAAAGCUGAGCACAAAAGACUAAAAUAAAGGAGCAAGCUGAAACCUGAGAAGGCAUACAGGAGUUCAACAGUCAGGGACAAGAGACUGUUCUGUGGAAAGCAGAUAAAGAAAAUUUCUGCAAGCUGGAUAAAAACAAUUAACAAAGAUGGUAACAAGUAGGAACCAUCUUCAAUUUGGAUACUUGUGAAAAUAAUAUGGACAAAACUUGUCAUUUGUUUCAAGGAGACAGAAACAGAGAGGAAGAGAAUGCAAGUUACUUACAUUUAAUUGGAAGGAAAAUUAAAGAAAAACUGCAAAUACUGUAAUGAGUUAAGGAACAUACUCUGUUCAGAGUCAGUUGCCAUAAAGGAUGAACUAUUUCUUGUUGAGAGAACUGUUACAGGCUGGUUCAAUGUGACUGAUGCAUGGAAUGGAGAGUUGAACAAAGAAGAGGCAGAAAAGGGGAUUAAGUAUGCGUCAGAAAUAAAGUUUAUACACUUAGCACAUAGCCUUUUCUACUUCAAAUGAUGCUAGUAAACACAAUAUAGAGAAAACACAGUUGUCAUCACACAUGUUUAUUUAAUAAUGUAUAAAGCUGAAUACACUUCAUUAAAUUAAGUUGCAGUAG
ensembl:lncRNA